UAUCUCUGUAGAGUCUGCAUAUCAAUAAGCGGAGGAAAAGAAACUAACUAGGAUUCCCCUAGUAACGGCGAGUGAAGCGGGAAGAGCUCAAAUUUGAAAUCUUAAAGGGUUUCCCUUUACGAAUUGUAGUUUAAAGAAGUGUUUUCUGUUGAGGUUUUGGUAAAAGUUCUUUGGAAUAGGACAUCAUAGAGGGUGAGAAUCCCGUAUUUGACCUUUACUUUCAACUUUGUGAUACACUUUCAAAGAGUCGGAUUGUUUGGGAAUGCAGUCCAAAAUGGGUGGUAAAUUUCAUCUAAAGCUAAAUAUUGGCGAGAGACCGAUAGCGAACAGGUACCGUGAGGGAAAGAUGAAAAGAACUUUGAAAAGAGAGUUAAACAGUACGUGAAAUUGUCAAAAGGGAAGCGUUUGACACCAGUGUUGUUUUUCUGAAAAUCAAUUAAAGAACUGUUUAUGCUAAGUUGUUUAGACUUUAUCAGCUAACUGUUUAGUUUUGAGCUUUUCUUUAAUGCACUUUUCAGUUAACAAGUCAACAUCAAUUUCUUUUGCUGUAAAAAAGCUUGAGGAAGGUGGCUUGAGAUUCGUCUUAAGUGUUUAUAGCCUCUUGCCUAUGCAGUCGGAGAGAUUGAGGUCUGCAGCGUAGAUCCUUCGGGGCUAAAUGCAUUUGUGCUAAGUUAUAGCAUUUUAUAGACAACUUGUUGACUAUGAUUUGUCUUGUAGCUUACUCGCUUAUGUUAUUUUACCUACGCUUAGGAUGUUGACGAUCAGCUGAGCGCG
rnacentral:rRNA from 1 species